GAGAAGACACACCUGGAUCAGCACUACACAGGUUACAGCACGGCAGAGAAGACACACCUGGAUCAGCACUACACAGGUCAUACAGCACGGCAGAGAAGACACACCUGGAUCAGCACUACACAGGUCAUACAGCACAGCAGAGAAGACACACCUGGAUCAGCACUACACAGGUCAUACAGCACGGCAGAGAAGACACACCUGGAUCAGCGCUACACAGGUCAUACAGCACGGCAGAGAAGACACACCUGGAUCAGCACUACACAGAUCAUACAGCACAUGCAGAGAGUAUCAGAGGUCAUACAGCAUGAUCAGAGAGUUCAGAGGUCAUACAGCAUAGCAGAGAGUAUCAGA